NNUCAGCGGCAGAGCAUUCGGCUUAUAUCCGAACGGUCCUAGGUUCGAAUCCUAG
rnacentral:tRNA from 1 species